rnacentral:rRNA from 1 species
ACUCAAAUGAAUUGACGGGGGCCCGCACAAGCGGUGGAUCAUGUGGUUUAAUUCGAAGCAACGCGAAGAACCUUACCUGGAUUUGACAUCCUCUGACAGCUGUAGAGAUACAGUCUUCGUAGCAAUACGACAGAGAGACAGGUGCUGCAUGGCUGUCGUCAGCUCGUGUGGUGACAUGUUGGGUUAAGUCCCGCAACGAGCGCAACCCUUGUCCUUAGUUGCCAGCAUUAAGUUGGGCUCUCUAAGGAGACUGCCGUGGUGAACACGGAGGAAGGUGGGGAUGACGUCAAGUCCUCAUGGCCUUUAUAUCCAGGGCGACACACGUGAUACAAUGGAUGGUACAGAGGGAAGCCAAAGCGCAAGCUGGAGCCAAUCUCAAAAAGCCAUUCUCAGUUCGGAUUGGAGUCUGCAACUCGACUCCAUGAAGUUGGAAUCGCUAGUAAUCGCGGAUCAGCACGCCGCGGUGAAUACGUUCCCGGGCCUUGUACACACCGCCCGU